CCCUCUGCAACUGGAUGCUGGACUUCCUGGCGGGCCACCCACAGUUGCAUGGUGAGUUUGUUGUUAUCAAUGGCUGUUUUCACUGCCGGAAUCUCCAGUUCAUCAAUGCGGAAAUUCAGAUCUCCAAACCAGAACACCACACUGUGGAGGAGGAGAAUAGUAUGGAGUGGAUUUAGGACAGAGCGGAACUGCAAAGACGCCUUUUUAAUGAUAAGGAUCCAGUGGCCCAACUCUUCCUCUGUUUUGCAUGAAGCAGUGAACAUAAAGGAGGCCAUAGCCAGCAGUCUAACGUCUCUGUCUAAACAGUAAACCCAUGUGAGGGAAAAACAUGGUGCCUGAUUUUACAAUACUGCACUGUGGAAUACAUGUUACAGCAGUACACAGUAGAUCCAUGGACGAUGCAAUCUCCAUCUCAGUGCACACCUUCCUAUCCCACCUGGACAAGAGGAAUACCUAUGUAAAAAUGCCUUUCAUCAACUACAGCUCAGCCUUCAACAACAUAGU